rnacentral:rRNA from 1 species
GACAGAGGAUGCAAGCGUUAUCCGGAAUCACUGGGCGUAAAGCGUCUGUAGGUGGUUUAAUAAGUCAACUGUUAAAUCUUGAGGCUCAACCUCAAAAUCGCAGUCGAAACUAUUAGGCUAGAGUAUAGUAGGGGUAAAGGGAAUUUCCAGUGGAGCGGUGAAAUGCGUAGAGAUUGGAAAGAACACCCGAUGGCGAAGGCACUUUACUGGGCUAUUACUAACACUCAGAGACGAAAGCUAGGGUAGCAAAUGGG